CAUCGGCUAUUGAAAAACCCAUAUCGGUCGACCUCUACGGUCAACCCCUGUACUCCUCUCCUCAGAGGAAGAGGAGGAGGUUGAAACAGAGGUCCACCUCUCGGGGAAGGCCCCAGUGGCGCCGCAUGUAGUCAGGGUGACACUGCCCAGACGGAGGGAGCCCUGGGGGCACAUGGUGCACAGCCGCCGUAUAAGGUGGUGGUCCUCGACCAGCUGCAGGAGGAGCAUCUGCUGCAGCAGUUGGAGCAGGAACAGUUGAGGCUGCAGCAGUAGCAGUUGGGGCUGCAGCAGGAGGAAUCGGAUGAGCUGGAGGAGGGGCUGCAGCAGCUGUUAUAGGAUCAGCUGCAGCAGGAAGAUGAGCUGGAGCAGCGGCAGCUAGAGUCGUUGGAGGAGUCAGAGUCUGAAAUUUCACCACUUAAUUAUUUUGACCAUGAAUCGUUCCACAAGAAACAGCAGGAGGAUAUCAGUCCUUUUGAAAGCCCAUCAUUUUUUCCCCCCCCAUUUUGUAUUUAUUUUGUCUGCUUUAAGUAUUUAUAUAAUAUAUAUUUUUAUAUAUGUAUAUUUUUAUUUUUCAUUUCACAGCUGCUGUUUUUUUAUUUGUGGUACCGUAAAAGUUUUAAGUUAUAAAGGAGAAAAUGUAAGUGACAAAGUAUAGCUGAUAAAAUUGGAUGGUGAUGGCAAUUGUCAAAAUUAUGGGUGUAUGUCUUGAUAUUCCAGACGACGAUGAAGAUAUCCACACAUCCUUGCUGUCAAUUUUGGUCUAUUUGAAGAAAAUAUUCCUAAUGGUGUACAGCAGACAUGUAAGUGAUGAAGUAUAGCUGAUAAAAUUAAAUGGUGAUGGUGAUUGUCAAAAUUAUGGGUGUAUGUCUUGAUAUUUCAGCUGAUGAUGAUGAUGUCCCCACAUCUCAGCCUGCCUCAACUGGCGAGGCUUAACCCACUGGGGUCUAGGGGUAGGGAACACACAUUCACUGACUGGGGCAUGAUCAUGCAUUUCUUUCAAUAUCAUAAACUUAAUUCAUGGCAAAUAAAUUAUUUCUUAUA